rnacentral:rRNA from 1 species
UACGUAGGGUGCGAGCGUUGUCCGGAAUUAUUGGGCGUAAAGAGCUCGUAGGCGGCCUGUCGCGUCGGAUGUGAAAGCCCGGGGCUUAACCCCGGGUCUGCAUUCGAUACGGGCAGGCUGGAGUGUGGUAGGGGAGAUCGGAAUUCCUGGUGUAGCGGUGAAAUACGCAGAUAUCAGGAGGAACACCGAUGGCGAAGGCAGGUCUCUGGGCCAUUACUGACACUGAGAAGCGAAAGCAUGGGGAGCGAACAGG